UCAAAAGUUAAACAAUGCAAAUAUUUGUGAGUUGAUCUCCAGGCACUGCCUAAAGAUGAUCACAAGUUUUUUCAUUGUACUUGGUGCCAAGAACUAGCUUAGGACUUUAUCAUUCUGAUAUGGUGGAUCACCUUAGGACUGUAAACUUGGUACUGCUUGAUCACUGGUUCUCCACCCUCUGCCGGUGAGCUCUUUAAUUCCUAGUGAAUUGCAUCAGUGGAGUUUCUCGGAACAUAAGUCGUAUUGCUGAUGCCACCACAAUUGUAUGCAUACUUCUUGUUUCGUAAGUUGGAAGCAGUUUCUGUGUCAUUUACUUGUUACUUUUUUAUCUUUAGUUUCUUUUAAACAUUUUCUUCUCAGUUGAUGAGAAGAGGCAAAGAUGGUAAUCUAUGGGAGUAUUCUUUGGACAAAUAAAUACAAUGUCUGGCAGCUGUUUUUCUUUGUCCCUUGAACUACACGAACUCGUUUAUUGUUGAUUUGAUCUCCAUUGUAGUUUGAUAAUUUUGUUUCCUGAUGUAAACAUCCAAAAUGGAAUCUGCUUCCAACAUCUAAACUCUUUUGUAUUUAUAUAAUUUCAGGAUUUGAAGAGUAACAGGUGGAAGGAAAUCUUCUGAUAAGCAUCUAAGCACCGCCGCCCGUGAAAUCCUAUCUUAAAAGUUUGCAGACAAGGAAUC
rnacentral:lncRNA from 1 species